AUUGAACGCUGGCGGCAUGCUUUACACAUGCAAGUCGAACGGUAACAGGCCGCAAGGUGCUGACGAGUGGCGAACGGGUGAGUAAUGCAUCGGAACGUGCCCAGUCGUGGGGGAUAACGCAGCGAAAGCUGCGCUAAUACCGCAUACGAUCUGUGGAUGAAAGCGGGGGACCGAAAGGCCUCGCGCGAUUGGAGCGGCCGAUGUCAGAUUAGGUAGUUGGUGGGGUAAAGGCCCACCAAGCCAACGAUCUGUAGCUGGUCUGAGAGGACGACCAGCCACACUGGGACUGAGACACGGCCCAGACUCCUACGGGAGGCAGCAGUGGGGAAUUUUGGACAAUGGGCGCAAGCCUGAUCCAGCAAUGCCGCGUGCAGGAAGAAGGCCUUCGGGUUGUAAACUGCUUUUGUACGGAACGAAACGGCUCUGGUUAAUACCUGGGGCUAAUGACGGUACCGUAAGAAUAAGCACCGGCUAACUACGUGCCAGCCGCCGCCGUAACAC
rnacentral:rRNA from 1 species